UUACGACCAUAUUAUGUUGAAACCCCCUAUUCCCAUAUGAACACUGAAGUUAAGCAAUGUUGUACCUGGUCAGUACCUAGAUGGAUGACCACUUGGGAAUAUCAGGUACUGUAA